AUACGAAGGUCCCAAGCGUUAUUCGGAAUCACUGGGCGUAAAGAGUACGUAGGCGGUUUGGUAAGUCAGGUGUGAAAUCCCGAAGCUCAACUUCGGAACUGCAUCCGAUACUGCCAGACUAGAGUAAUGGAGAGGCAGGUGGAAUUCUCGGUGUAGCAGUGAAAUGCGUGGAUAUCGAGAGGAAGACCAAUGGCGAAGGCAGCCUGCUGGACAUUUACUGACGCUGAGGUACGAAGGCCAGGGUAGCGAAAAGGAUUAGAAACCCCAGUAGUCC
rnacentral:rRNA from 1 species